GACGAACGCUGGCGGCGUGCUUAACACAUGCAAGUCGUACGGUAAGGCCCUUUCGGGGGUACCCGAGUGGCGCACGGGUGAGUAACACGUGAGUAACCUGCCCACAACUUUGGGAUAACGCUAGGAAACUGGUGCUAAUACUGGCUAUGUGCUCCUGCUGCAUGGUGGGGGUUGGAAAGCUCCGGCGGUUGUGGAUGGACUCGCGGCCUAUCAGCUUGUUGGUGGGGUAGUGGCCUACCAAGGCGGCGACGUGUAGCCGGCCUGAGAGGGUGACCGGCCACAUUGGGACUGAGAGACGGCCCAGACGCCUACGGGAGGAAGCAGGGGGGAAUAUUGAACAAUGGGCGCAAGCCGGAUGCAGCAACGCCGCGUGCGGGAUGACGGCCUUCGGGUUGUAAACCGCUUGCAGCAGAGACGAAGCUUUUUGUGACGGUACCUGCAGAAGAAGCACCGGCUAACUACGUG
rnacentral:rRNA from 1 species